UCCGGUGGCUAUAGCGGAGGGGUCACACCCGAACACGGAAGUUAAGCCCUCCCGCGCUGAUGGUACCUGGGGCGCAAGCCCCCGGAAGAAGGCGUCCGCCGGAA
rnacentral:rRNA from 1 species